CCUCCUCUCAUUUUUCUGAAAGAAGUACUCUCCUGAUGGCCUCUUGGUGAAAUGUGCUUUCAUUUCAGGAACUGUUGACAUUCAGGGACGUGGCCAUAGAGUUCUCUCAGGAGGAGUGGGAGUGCCUGGACCCCGCUCAGAGGGCCUUGUACAGGGACGUGAUGUUGGAGAACUACAGGACCCUGGUCUCCCUGGCUGUCCAGGAACUGGGAUUGGUUUAUGGAAAAGCUGCAGGACACCAUCUACCAGUUUCCAUGUCAGCAAGACCCUCUUUCUGAGCUGAAUACCAUCUCCACUGUGGAGGAAGGAAGAGCCUUGCACGGCCAGGAGUGGGGUGAAACUAGCGGCAAAACCCAGGUGGGUGGGAAGGUAUGAAAGAUGUGAAGGCAAGUGAGGGUCAGAUGGCAGAGGGGAAUUGACUCCCUGAAAUGUUGUUUGGGACAUUCUCCCCCGGUGGGAGAGGUGUUUGGAAAAGAAGAGUUGAUCUCUUGUGGGGUCUCAAAGGAGGGUGUUAUUCUCCUCCUUCACCCUCUUCUUGGUGUGUGCAUGUCUCCUGCCCUCCUCAGUGGUAGUGCAGCUCCUGGCAGCAACAAGGGCAAAGUCUUUGUCACGACCCAGGCAUGCCCUUCUCUGCCCCCAGGAGUCCUUACUGGUUCGACCUUGGGGAGCACAUGGAGGGCUGUUUGUAAGGGGCGUCUUCCUUCGUUGCAUCUCCUUCUCUAGUCAGUCACACAGAUCUUAGGUGAGGCCCCCUUCGUCCUGACUGCGGGCCUUCUCCAGCUUGUAUCCUGUUUCAUGUGCUUGAGUGACCUGUCAUGAUGGGAACAUUCUUUGCAUCUUGGGCCAGAGGCAGGUGCAUGGGCUGUCCCAAGCCCUCUGCCUGCUCCAUGCCUCUGCCAUUUCUUCAUUUCCACUUUCACGCUGUAGGGGCAUGUGUACUGGGAAUGGAGUGAUUGUUUCAAGAUUGUUACUCAGCAGUGCUGUAAAGACAGUGUGUGGCGGGGGGCGGUCAGCUGGGGGGACCUUUGUUUGAUCCCCAGUCCUUCGUGGGGACCGUAUUUCAGGCUUUGGGCCAUCAGCCAGGAGUCUGUAGGUAGAUCCCAGGUCCUGUUUCAACAUCCCACAAAGUAUAACCCCUUUCCUUAGUCUCUUAUCUUCUUUGUCUCUGUCUUGCAGGUCUUCCUUAGUCUGGGAGUGUGGGAAAACCUUGGCUCUCCCUGAUUUCGUAGUCUCCUAAGUUUGUGUGGUUUUGCCUCUGAAACUUUCUGGGUUGUGAAAUACACUUCCUUAGUGUCUGAACUUUUAUCCUCGUAUUUUCUGUUGUGAUAACCUACCCAUUAUGUACUGGACGACUUGUGUGGUGAACUCUUCCAUACAAAGUUUUAGUGGUAAAAAGAACAUUCUAGAUGCAGAACACUUAUAUUUAGAUGUCAAAGCACCAUUCUGCUAAGUGGAGUUGUGCCCCCAAAGCACCUGAGUAGAGUGGUCAGCAUGUUCCAGGAUGCUGGCAUUGAGUGUAGCAUGAGAGCCUGGCUUAGGGCUCCAGGACUUCUGGUUUUUGGAGUGUCACAAAAGUGUCUCUCAAGGGCACUGUGGGAGUGGUGAUUGAGUACACUAAGGGUCAUCCCCCUUGAUUUGGCUGAAGAAAUACAGGAAGUUAUUCUAGAGGGAUCAUUGUCCGCCUAUAACCCCAUCUAUGAGGCUGUUAACUGAACUAUUAUUCACACAACAGUGUUCGUUCCAUGUGUACAUCCUUGUUCCUUCCCCAGCAAAUAAGAUUUUAAAUUAUUGUAUUGAGAGAAUUUAUGAGUUCAUGAUGCUUAUUACAUUAUUGAGCUCUAUCCAUUUCUUUUGUUGAAGAUGCUGGUACUUUGAUGCACAUUUCCAGGUAUUACAAAUUUCCUUCCUGAGUGUUCAGGGUUAUGGUGGAGCAAGUGUUUUUCUAAAGCCUAUGUAAUAUCUAGAAUUUUGGGAAGAUAUAUCAUAUUUAUCCUUCCUGCACAUGUUUUGCUUGAAUUCAUACCUGCUCAUUAACAAAUACCUGGCCCAUCUGAAUGAAUUUAGAAUAAAAAAACAUUUUUUUAAUGUUUAUUUUAUAUUUGAGAGAGAGAGAGAUAGUGCACAAGCAGGGGAAGGGCAGAGAGAGAGAAAUGGAGACAGAAUAUGAAGCAGGCUCCAGGCUCCAAGCUGUGCACGGAGCAUGACGCGAGGCUCGAACCCAUAAGCCAUGAGUUCAUGACCUGAGCUGAAGUUGGUUGCUUAACUGACUGAGCCACCCAGGCGCCCUGAAUUUGGAUUUUUAAAAUCAAGAAUAUUGGAUAUCUUGAGAAUAUGCUUUUGUUAUGAAGUGACUCUGUUCAUCCCAGAAAAACAAAGUAAUUUAUUCAUAAUUUGUUAUAUAAAAUACCUUGUUUUUUCUAUGGUAUAUUUAAAAUUUUCUAAAUAUGACUUGUUGAAUUUUAUAUGAAUUUUAUAGAUGUUUUAUAUUUUGGUUUAAGUGCUUUAUUUUAAUUAAUCAUCUCCCUGUCUAGAUUCACCAUGUAACUCUUGGUACAUUGAACUUGUACUUAAAUAUCUAAGUUCAUUUUAUAGAAACAUAGCCAAUUUCUUACAUUUCGUGUACUUCUUCAUCACUGUUAUUCAUGAGACAGUAUCCACAAAAUUUCUAAGGUUCUGGAAAUCCUAUUAUUCAUUAACCCAUGAUGGCUGUUUUCUUCCCCAUAUUCUGUUAACCUGAACUCUGAAGUGCACAUUGUCCUUCUUGACCCAUAUCCUGGUGUUCUGUUGUUCUCAGGCUGUUAUUGGUUUUAAUUUGUUGGUCACCGCUGCACAGCCACCUCCUGCAUGGACCUUCUGGAACUGGCAAAUAUUGUUUCUUCCUUUAACUGAUAAAACUGCCUUCAUUAGAAGUUAUUCCUUGCUGGGGCCCCUGGGUGGCUCAGUUGGUUAAGAUCUGACUUUGGGUCAGGUUAUUAUCUCAUAGUUUGUGGGUUUGAGCCCUGCAUCGGGCUCCAUGCUUGUGGUGCAGAGCCUGCGUGGGGUUCUCUUUCUCUGCCUCUUCCUUCCUCUGUCUCUCGCUCUGUCUCUCUCUCUCUCUCAAAAGAAAUUAAAAAAAAAAAAGUUAUUCCUUGUUCUUUUGGUCAUAUGACCCUUAAGGUUAUCCAUAGUUCCCUAAUAAUCUUUAUGAAGUCAGGAUUAUUAAUUGUGGGCAAGUGCACAUUAAUUUUUAUUUAUUCUUGAUAAUUAUAUGUUUACUAAUACAUAGUAAAAUGUAUUACCCUCGCUUCAUGUCUGUUUCAUGCAUGGAAUUAUGAUGAGGGAUCCAGUGAGAAUUUCAGGGUAUUAGAGGAAGCCAGCCUAAGAGAAACUGUUAUUUUUAUAUAAUAUAAACAGACUUAGCUUCAAAAUUUUAAGGUAUUCAAAUUGGAAGAUAUAUAUUUUUUAAGCUGUUGUGAAAUGACUUACAUUGUUAUUUAAAAGUUAACUUUUUAAAAAAUACUGGGGGGUGGGCAGAGAGAGAGAGUGGGAGAGAGAGAAUCCCAAGCAGACUCCACAUUGUCAGCACAGAGCCCAACAUGGGGCUUGAUCUCACGAACCGUGAGAUCAUGACCUGAGCCGAUAUAAAGAGUUGGACACUUAACCAACUGAGCCACCCAAGCGUCCCUAAAGAUGAACUUUUAAUUAAAGUGGAAUUUACGUAACAAAAUUAACCAUUUUCAACUGAAUAAUUCAGUGGCAUUUAGUGCAUUUACCAGGUGUUCAACCACCACCUCUGUCUGGUUGUACAUUCCCAUCACUCCAAAUUAGUGUCCAUUAUCCUUAAUCAGUUUCUCCACAUUUUCCUCUGUCCCCAGUCCCUGAAACUGCCUGUGUGCAUUCUGUCUCUUUUUCUGUUCUCUAGAUUUCUUCUUUUUCAAAAUUGUCUGGACUCUUUAGGGGCCUUUGUGGUUCCAUAUGUAUUGGAUCAUGUUUUCUAUUUCUCAACAAGUCUUGGAAUUUUGAUAGUGUGUCUGUAGAAUCUCCAGACCACUUUGGUGAAUAUUACCAUUUUCAAAACUAUGAAGUGUUCCCAUCCAUAAAUAUGGAACAUCUUCUCCAUUUAUUUAGGUGUUUAAUUUCUCUCAGCAACGUUUUAUAGUUUUCAGUCUGUUGAUCUUUCAUCUCCUUGGUUAAAUUUGUUCCUAAGUAUCUGAUUCUUUGGAUGUUAUGUUAUACAGGGAAUAAUUUUUAACAUUUCUUUUUCACAUUGUCCAUUUAAUGUGUAGUAGUAACACAGCUGAUUUUUCAUGUAUUGAUGCUGUGUUUCCUGACAUCAUUUGUAACACUAGAAGGUUGUGUGUGUGUUGGGGGGUAUUUUAUGGAAUUUUCUGUAUAUAGGAUUAUGCCAUCUACAUGCAGAGGUAGUUUUUCUUUUACUUCUCCAAUAUGUAUGCUUUUUAUUCCUUUUUCAUGCUUAAUGGCUUUGGGUAAAACUUCCAGAACACGUUGAUAGCAGUGGUAAAGGUGUGCAUUUGUGUCUUUUUCUUUGCCUAUGGGGGGAGAGCUUUUAUUCUUUCACCGUUGACUGUGAUAUUAGCUGUGGGUUUUUCAUAAAUGAUCAUUAAGAGGUUGAGGAAGUUCACUUUUCUUUUUAGUAUACUGAAUUUUUAAAAGUAUUUUCCUUGAUUUGUUAAGUAAUCUCUAUACCCAACGUGGGGCUUGAACUCACAACCCUGAGAUCCAGAAUCACAUGCUCUACUGACUGAGCCAGCCAGGCGCCCCUAGUAUGCUGAAUUUUUUUUUUAUCAAUAAAGAGUUCUGGAUUUUUUCAAACAUUUUGCAUACAAUGAGGUGAUUAUGUAGGUUUGUAUUUUUUCUUGCCUUCUUACGUGAAUGUGGUUUAUUACAUUGAUAGAUUUUCGUGUGUUGAACCAUUUACCCUUGAAUUCUUCGAACAAGUCUCAAUUAUUAUUAUUUGUUUUAAUUUCAUUUUUUAAAAUUUACAUCCAAAUUAGCAUAUAGUGGCAACAAUGAUUUCAGGAGUAGAUUCCUUAAUGUCCCUUACCCAUUUAGCCCAUCCCUCCCCCCCACAACCCCUCCCGUAACCCUCGGUUCUCCAUAUUUAUGAGUCUCUUCUGUUUUGUCCCCCUCCCUGUUUUUAUAUUAUUUUUGUUUCCCUUCCCUUAUGUUCAUCUGUUUUGUCUCUUAAAGUCCUCAUGUGAGUGAAGUCAUAUGACAUUUGUCUUUCUCUGACUAAUUUCUCUUAGCAUAAUACCCUCCACUGCCAUCCACGUAGUUGCAAAUGGCAAGAUUUCCUUCUUUUUGAUUGCCGACUAGUAUUCCACACACACACACACAUACCACAUCUUCUUUAUCCAUUCAUACAUUGAUGGACAUUUGGGUAAAUCUCAAUUUUAAUGGUGUAUAAUCUUCAUAUGCUAUGUAUAUUUAGUUGGCUAGUAUUUUGUUGAGUAUUUUUGCAUCCAUAUUCAAAACAAGACCUGCUUAUGUUCUCUGUAGACGAACUCUGUGUGUUUGUGUAUGGGGUAGAUUGUUUUAGGGAAUGACUUAUGUAUUCAGGAAGAAGAUUACACCAGUGCCUUACCCUUCAUUUCUGCUUGCUCAGAAUUGGGCGGUCAACAGGAGGUAAAGCUUGGGGAUUUCUCAGGUCUUUUCCUAAGUACCCAGUCCCAGGCAUGCUCACAACCUUCCAGAAUCCCUGGAAUAUGUGGGGAUUUUCUAAGCCUUAUUCCCCAGUACACCUCACUCCCCAAUGUUUUUACCAGGGUUUUAGGUUUGUCCCAUUGUUUGCUCCAAUCGUUAUCCCUUGCCCUAGGUGGCAUUAAUUUACCUUUAAAUGUUUUUUUAAAAUGUGUCAAUAAAUGUUUUUUUAGAAAAAUUUAGAGACAUCUGGUUGGCUCAGUCCAUAGAGCAUACAGAUCUUGAUCUUGGGGUCAUGAGUUCAAGUCCCACGUUGAGUGUAGAGAUUACUUAAACAAAAAAAAAGUUUGUGACAUAUGACCCCUGGUUAUCACCUCCACCUAAGUAGAGAUCUGAAGUAGACCAAAGACAGCAAGCACUUUGAGCCAGUCCUUCAGAUUAAACAAACACAGCAACAAUUCCUUAAAGGUCCCAUUUGUUCCCCUGUAGUUCAGGAAGUUUGUACUCCCUGCAGGCUCCUAUCUUCAAGGCCACUUCUUAGCUGGGGUACAGCUACCUUUUUCUUGAUUAAAAGUGUGCCUGGUUGCUGGAAUCCUGUGAUUAAUUUCCAGAGUUAAGUUCAUUCUGACAUUUUUUUCUAGCUUGUUUCCUGCUUUUAUAAAGGGAGGUACAUUUGGAGUUCCCAGCUUGAUCAUUUUGAUGUCCCAUUUUCCCAUUGUUAAUCUCUAUAAUAUUAGCUAUUUAUCUGAAUCUCUUAUUCCAGAAUCCGUGAUGUUCAGCGUAUUUUCCAGUUCUCAACAUUGUGUGCUCUUUCUGAAAUGCAGGUCCUUUCCUUUGUUCUUAUGGGUGAAUUCUUUAUAAUUCCACAGACUAUAUAUGUCUUAUAAUUGUAAAUACUUGUUAAUUGCUAGAUUUUUUUUUGGGUUAACAAAAUGUUUAUUAUAUUUUAUGACUAACAUAAUUUUUAAUGUAUAUUCUGGUUUAUUAACACUGCAGUAUGCCUGUUCUACCUGGAUGUAUUUUUGUAACACAUAUUCAGAAUAUUUUGUUUCUCUUUAAGUCAUGAUUUAAUGUUGUGUACAAUAAACAUUCGAUAAUCAGCUUUA